rnacentral:tRNA from 1 species
GGUGCUGUGGCGGAGUGGUUAACGCGAUUGACUUGAAAUCAAUUUCCCUAGUGGAGCGCAUGUUCGAACCAUGCCAGCAUCG